rnacentral:lncRNA from 1 species
UGCUCCCAAUAUUCGAGGUAACUGAAUAUUAAUAAAAUUCCCCUUUCUUUUUAUUUUCACUGUAUACUCGUGUUACAACACGACAUCCACCCCCUCUGAACCUGUGCAUCCUCCGGUAUGCACCAAUUUACCCAAUUGCUGUUUGAUUCAGAAUAUAUCCCCUACGUCUUUGUCCAGUUCGUCUUGGUCACCUUCAUUAUCCAUAUCACUUU